CUAUUUUCGUCAUCAGAACUUCAUCAGAUCAUUUCGAAAAACCCAACAAACAUUUGGCAGUGUAUACUGCUCCCACAAAUUGGCACAAUCCUCUCGCUGUGUUAUCCCACUUUUGGAUAUGUAGAGCUACGCGAGAGCCGUCUAAUCGACUGAGCAAAAAGCGGAAAGGCGCUCCCCAGCAGAAACAGAAACAGAAACUAUUUAAUAACCGUAAGUUGCACGCUCGGGAAUAGUCUCGUGGGACUGCUCGCUACUCCAAGCCCCAAGCUCCAACCUCCAAGCUUCAAGACCCAAGGCGUUACAAGUGGUCCGACCGUAGUGGCGAAAACCUGAACAGAACGACGCUGAUCGAAGUCGAGUGAUAAAUGCAAACAUCGCAUAUCGAAGUGAUAAACAAGUGAAAAAUAAACUGAAAUCUCAAAACUAAAAUCUGAAAAUUAAUAGUUUAAUUAAAAUCUUCGCCAUAAGUUCUUCAAGUUCUUGAUUACAACUCCCAGGAAGCAAAGUUCGCAGCAGCAACACCAUGGCGAAGAACAGUGAUGUUUACUGCCGUGGCAACCUGUUACACACCGUCCAAAUGGCAAAACUCUACGAAGAUUCGAAGACCUUUGUGGACAUGAAGCUGGUCAAUAGUCCCGAAAAGACACUCGCUGAUUUUGACAAGUUUAUGGAAAGCAAAAAUCAAAAUCCCUCCCGGGACGAUCUAAUAAAGUUUGUCGAGAGUUACUUCAGCCCCAAGGGCACUGAACUGGAAGAGUAUCUGCCGCCAGACUGGACAAAGAAUCCCAGCUUCCUUGAUGUCGUUCAUGACCCUGACCUCAAGCAAUGGGGUAAGGAUCUGAACAGUAUCUGGAAAGAACUGGGCCGCAAAAUGAAGGACGAUGUAGCGAAAAACCCCGACUUUUAUUCAAUAAUCCCAGUGCCAAACCCGGUAAUUAUUCCUGGCGGUCGUUUCAUUGAGUUCUACUACUGGGACUCCUACUGGAUCAUCCGAGGACUGCUCUACAGCGAUAUGAGGGACACUGCUCGCGGCAUGAUCGAAAACUUUUUGUCGAUUGUGAACCGUGUCGGAUACAUUCCGAAUGGAGGACGCGUCUACUACUACGGACGAUCCCAGCCACCGCUACUCACUGCCAUGGUCAAGUCGUACGUGGACUUCACCAACGACGACGUGUUCGCCAUCAAAGCUCUGGAUGCAUUGGAGCACGAAUUCGAGUACUUCGUGAACAACCAUUCGAUAGAGGUUAAGGGACACAAUCUGACGCACUACCGCGAUGCCUCGACGGGUCCUCGUCCAGAGUCCUAUCGCGAAGAUAUUGUGUCCGCUGAAGUCUUCAAAACUGAGGAAGAAAAGGAGGAUCACUACCGGGAGCUCAAGGCUGCUGCCGAGUCCGGAAUGGACUUCAGUUCUCGCUGGUUCAUCAACGAAAACGGCACCAAUGUUGGAAAUCUCACAAACCUCAAAACCCGCUCCAUUGUCCCGGUCGACCUCAAUGCAUUACUGUUCAUGAAUGCCAAGAUAAUUGCCGAAUUCCACUCCAAGGCGAAGAAUCCCGACAAGGUUGCCGAAUACGAGAAAAAGGCCCAGAAACUUCUCCAAGGUAUCCAAGAAGUUCUGUGGAACGAAGAGGCUGGCAUCUGGCUGGACUAUGACAUGAUAAACAAGAAGCCGCGCGACUACUUCGUACCCACCAACCUGCUACCGCUCUAUGCGAAGGCCUUUAACAUUUCAGAAUCGGAAAAGAUCUCGGCCAAGGUGAUGAACUAUAUCAAGAAAAACAAGCUGGACUCAUUCCCGGGCGGAGUGCCCAAUACUUUGUAUAGAACUGGUGAACAAUGGGACAUGCCCAACGUUUGGGCUCCGAUGCAGUAUUUUUUGGUCGAGGGUAUUAACAACCUGAACACGAAGGAGGCGAAGGCGAUGUCCAAGGAUUGGGCUAUCCGUUGGGUGAAGUCCAACUUCAAGGCUUACAAAGACGGCCGCCAUAUGUACGAGAAGUACAAUGCCGAGGAGUUCGGCGGACAUGGCGGCGGCGGAGAGUACGGAGUGCAGACCGGAUUUGGCUGGUCCAAUGGCGUCAUCAUCGAGUGGCUGGCCAAGCACGGCCGCGAGAUCUCGGUGACCGGCGGCGCAAAAGGUGAAAAGAAGAAAUGUGUGCCGUGUGAUUGUGAUUGAAUGUGCAGUGCAAUUUGCCGGCAAACGGCAAUCCAUCGCUCACCAUCGACAUCUCAUCACAGGCUCCAAGCCAAAGAUCUUCAGCAUAAAUCGAUUUAUAGAAAUAGAACUUGUACCAUCCAUCCCGAAGCGCUCAUUCACAACUCAUCCGUAGGUUAAGCAAAGCUCUCUUUUCCACAAAACUAUCUUUAUCUAUGCCGCUGCAUAACCGUCUCUAUACCGCGCCAAUUCAACCAAUUAUGUAUAAUCGAGUACCAAGAACCAUGAACCACAGCACCACAGUCACAGCAUUGCCAGGAGCCAGAAGCCAGGAUACGAUGUCCACCAUCCACACAGCAUUCUGUACUAUCUGUACCCAUGAAUUCGCCUUCCUGUGUGUACAUCUGUGUGACUUGUCAAAAUUAAAUAAAGUCCAAAUUGUAAAUGUCCAAAAAAACCAACAUCGAAAAGAUGUGUCCCACACAACGCUCUCGUCCAUCCAGUUCCAGACUCACGCCUACCCAAUUGACCAGCAUCGUAGGAAUUGCAACAGCUGUCGUCCUUGCUCUUGUAGUGGCUCCUGUUUUGUGGCGAAAUUGGUUUAAAUAAGCCGCUCAACAAAUAAAUUUUGUUCGUAAUUUGUA